rnacentral:rRNA from 1 species
AGAGUUUGAUCAUGGCUCAGAGCGAACGCUGGCGGCAGGCUUAACACAUGCAAGUCGAGCGGAUGUAGCAAUACAUCAGCGGCGGACGGGUGAGUAACACGUGGGAACGUACCUUUUGGUUCGGAACAACACAGGGAAACUUGUGCUAAUACCGGAUAAGCCCUUACGGGGAAAGAUUUAUCGCCGAAAGAUCGGCCCGCGUCUGAUUAGCUAGUUGGUGAGGUAAUGGCUCACCAAGGCGACGAUCAGUAGCUGGUCUGAGAGGAUGAUCAGCCACAUUGGGACUGAGACACGGCCCAAACUCCUACGGGAGGCAGCAGUGGGGAAUAUUGGACAAUGGGCGCAAGCCUGAUCCAGCCAUGCCGCGUGAGUGAUGAAGGCCCUAGGGCUGUAAAGCUCUUUUGUGCGGGAAGAUAAUGACGGUACCGCAAGAAUAAGCCCCGGCUAACUUCGUGCCAGCCGCCGCGGUAAUAC